rnacentral:rRNA from 1 species
UACGUAGGGUGCAAGCGUUAAUCGGAAUUACUGGGCGUAAAGCGUGCGCAGGCGGUUUGCCAAGACAGAUGUGAAAGCCCCGGGCUCAACCUGGGAAUGGCAUUUGUGACUGGCAGGCUAGAGUGUGUCAGAGGGGGGUAGAAUUCCACGUGUAGCAGUGAAAUGCGUAGAGAUGUGGAGGAAUACCGAUGGCGAAGGCAGCCCCCUGGGAUAACACUGACGCUCAUGCACGAAAGCGUGGGGAGCAAACAGG